rnacentral:lncRNA from 1 species
ACCUCUGCAAUUUAACUAGGCGUUGCUCAGAAGGAGUAUUCUUUGAUGAAUGAAAAGUUUUCAUAUUUCCAAUGCGUUAACAUCGAAAAAAAUUGUAAUUUAAUACCGAAAAGUUUUCAACUUCUUCGAUGGACGAGAUGACUCCCUAUGCAUAUUUUGUUUCCACUUAUUCAGAUCUGCUAUAAAUUUAUUUAAGGAAUGAUACAAAUUUUUUCACCAGUUGGAAUUAGCAAAUAAUAUUUGAGUUAACGACAAACCACCAGUUGAAGCAUAGACUGUUGACGUUUUAAACUUGUCGCCCGAAAUCAUCAAAUUCACUUAUUUAGUUUCUUUUCCUUCUCACUGUUUUUAUUUUGUUCGACAUUAUUUUGUUAUAGUGGUAAAAAUUAAAAACCAAAAUAAAAGAAAACAAUUUGAAGAAAUGAAAAUGUAUCAUAAAUGAGAAUUUAAAUUUGAUCAUUUAGAACGUAGAGCUUGACAUAAACUGCCAUACAAUCAAUUUGAAAUAAUUGUUUUCUUAUGGAACAUUUAUUUCAUGCAGGGGAAAGGCUUAGCUUAAAUAGGUCGACAUUUGUAUAAUAUAAUCUUCAACCAAAGUAAUUGAUCCGAAUUUCACCGAAACUUCUACAUACUGUAUAUCAUUGUCAUUUGUAUAGUCUACUGUUUCAAUUCAUGAGUUCCUCUUAUGUUACAUUUUUCACAAAAUUCUGCAAAAUCUAGUCAAACCAAAAGAAAGCGCGUUCUUUUCAAAUAAUCAAAAGAUUGCCCUUUGAAGUUGCACUUAAACUGGGUAGGAAACUUUGCUUGAUACUGGAUUAUUGUCUAACUAAACAGCGCUAAUACUAAUAUUUCACAGCCUUUAAGUGAAUCGUGAUUGUAGAAGUGGACUUGAAAGGUCAAAUGGAAAAUUCUCAGCUCUGUAUUAAUGUAUGAUCUUAUUUAUCAAUGGUUGGUGACUGUCUAUAUCAUUUCAGUUUUGAGAAAGAAAUGUAUUUUGGUGUAUAAUAUAAAACUUUAUAGAAUGGUAAUAAGUGGAUAUGGCGUUGUUCCUCAAUUACCUGAGUAUUUUUAUGCUGUUUCUGUAGAAACACUUGUUAAUUUAACCAUUUCAAAGUUUCUACAAACUAAAAUUAACGUAUUUCGUAAUAAAUAAGUUUUAAUAAAUUUUGUGUGCACACUAUUUAGUUUUCUUAACAUGACACAUCGAUAUAUAUACACUUGUAGAGUUUGGUCAUGUAAAUAAGAUAGUCACUACAUAGUUAACUCCCUUAGUGUACACACUUUAGUUACAACCCAUUGAUGAAAUUAUUCCUUUGGGAUAAUAAAACAUUAAAAAUAUACAAAUCAAAUUUUUAUCUCAUUCGACAGAUUUUUCAAAGUUGUCAGAAAAUAUAAUUCGUUUUAAAAUAACAAUAGAGUAGGUAUUUCUAGAAAGAGAAAGAAAAUUCAUUCCCUACAUUACUAGUUGCAAUUUUAGCAAUACUUACGUACAUGCAAAAAUAACAUCUACGCUGAUCUUCACAAUCCACUGCAUUCCUAUUUACCAUACCUAAGCAACGAUCAACUAAAGUGUUUUAAAAUUUACUCCUGAAAAUAUCAGGUGAGUCAUUUUUUAAACAAAUAAUGAUGGCAAUUUUGUUUAUGGAAACUACUUUUGCUUGGAUGAAUUUUGUUUUUAUUUGUGACAGUAUAUAUCGAUGACAUUUGAAAACAACUUUUACUUCUUAAAAGUAGCGAGUUAACUAUGAUUAAAAAGAAGUAUUGUGAUUUUUAUUGCUAUUGUUGUAUUUUAAAUAUUAAUGAGAGGCAUGACAAUUAAAGCAUUAAAGUUCGUGUGAUAAAAAAUAGUAAUUAAUCCGAAUUUCACCGAAACCUCUACAUACUGUAUAGACUACUGUUUCAAUUCAUGAGUUUAUUUUAUGUUACAUUUUUCUCAAAAUUCUGCAAAAUUUAGUCAAACCAAAAGAAAGUGCGUUCUUUUCAAAUAAUCAAAAGACUGCUUUAAUCUAGAAACUCGCAUGGGCCAAAGUGUUAUGCAGUAGUUCAGAAUUGGCGCCUGUGCAAUAUAUAUCUUUAAACGGAGACAAUUUACAUUAAUUUAUUAGUGUCUUGACUUGGCAAGAAUACAUUGGCACUACACGAUACUUGUCAGAGACUUCAAGAUCCUAGUUUGUAUAAGUUAAAUGCUAAACUAUCUAAAAAUUGUUCGGCAUUCUUUCGAAGGAAUGACAGAUAGAAUAUCUAUAUCCAAAGAAUGUCAAUUGGGCAAUUGUUUUUAUUCUAGAGGGUAAACAAAUAUAGAAAUAAUUAAAUUC